rnacentral:rRNA from 1 species
GAUGAACGCUGGCGGCGUGCUUAACACAUGCAAGUCGAACGGAAAGGCCCAAGCUUGCUUGGGUACUCGAGUGGCGAACGGGUGAGUAACACGUGGGUGAUCUGCCCUGCACUUCGGGAUAAGCCUGGGAAACUGGGUCUAAUACCGGAUAGGACCACUUCUUGGAUGUUGUGGUGGAAAGUUUUUUCGGUGUGGGAUGAGCUCGCGGCCUAUCAGCUUGUUGGUGGGGUAAUGGGCUACCAAGGCGUCGACGGGUAGCCGGCCUGAGAGGGUGUACGGCGACAUUGGGACUGAGAUAAGGCCCAGACUGCUAAGGGAGGAAGCAGUGGGGAAUAUUGCACAAUGGGCGCAAGCCUGAUGCAGAGACGCCGCGUGGGGGAUGACGGGCUUCGGGUUGUAAACACCUUACGCUAGGGACGAAGCGUUUUGUGACGGUACCUGGAGAAGAAGCACCGGCUAACUACGUG